UCUGGCAGCCUUGGCUGUCCGAGUUGUAAUNNGGAGAAGCGUCUUCCGCGCUGGACCGUGUACAAGUCUCCUGGAACGGAGCGUCAUAGAGGGUGAGAAUCCCGUCUUUGACACGGACUACCAGUGCUCUGUGAUGCGCUCUCAAAGAGUCGAGUUGUUUGGGAAUGCAGCUCAAAAUGGGUGGUAAACUCCAUCUAAAGCUAAAUAUUGGCGAGAGACCGAUAGCGAACAAGUACCGUGAGGGAAAGAUGAAAAGCACUUUGGAAAGAGAGUUAAACAGUACGUGAAAUUGCUGAAAGGGAAACGCUUGAAGUCAGUCGCGUUUGCUAGGACUCAGCCUUGCCUCGGCUUGGUGCAUUUCCUAGUAGACGGGCCAGCAUCACUUUUGACUGCGGGAGAAAGGUUGGAGGAAUGUGGCACCUUCGGGUGUGUUAUAGCCUCUAGCUGUAUGCCGUGGUUGGGAGUGAGGAACUCAGCACGCCGCAAGGCGGGGCUUCGGCCACCUUCGUGCUUAGGAUGCUGGCGUAAUGGCUUUAAACGACCCGUCUUGAAACACGGACCAAGGAGUCUAACAUGCCUGCGAGUGUUUGGGUGGAAAACCCGAGCGCGUAAUGAAAGUGAAAGUUGGGACCUCUGUCGUGGAGGGCACCGACGCCCGGACCAGACCUUCUGUGACGGAUCCGCGGUAGAGCAUGUAUGUUGGGACCCGAAAGAUGGUGAACUAUGCCUGAAUAGGGUGANNCCAGAGGAAACUCUGGUGGAGGCUCGUAGNGA
rnacentral:rRNA from 1 species